AACGCACAUUGCGCCCUUUGGUAUUCCUUAGGGCAUGCCUGUUCGAGUGUCAUUUCAAAAUUCAAGCUCAGCUUGGUGAUGGACGUCUGUCCCGCCUCCGCGCGCGGACUCGCCUCAAAAGUAGUUGGCAGCUCCCUUAUCGGCACUGAACGCAGCAAAUUUGCGGGACGCACCGAAGAAAGGGGCUUACCAGUAAGCAAACCACCCCAGAUUGACCUCGGAUCAGGUAGGGAUACCCGCUGAACUUAA
rnacentral:misc_RNA from 1 species